UCCCGCGAUGAUUAUGCUGCGUUCGAAGUUUUACUGUACUUCUCAUGUUAAAAACUUCACGAUUUUCACCACAAAAAGGACGUCAUUGGUGAAACGUGGGACGUCCUAUGGUACCAUAUUUCCACAUAAACAACUCAAAAGAUGGUCAAUUGAUGCAGACAGCUGUUAACAAGUUAACAUCCAGCCUUUUCCUACCAGUACUUAUUCAUCUCUUUGCCAUCAACCUUUCAAGAUUACAUCACUAACUGAUUAAAAGAAGAGUUACAAUGUACAGUAUGCAUCCAAAAAUUGCACAACCUGGACAGAAUGCUGGAACAUGCCUCAUGGAUAAGAACUUGAGUUUCUCCUGCAUCUGCCCUAACGGCUGCAUCAGGCACAUGUAUAAUGCGUGAAUGGGUGGCUGUGUAGACCAGCCACUGAGUACCUGCAGGCAGUACAGGCAACGUUGAUGUGGAAACUCUUGCUAGUUAUCACUACAAAGAAACUCACCCACAACUGUACCUUUUACAGUGUGCCAUGGACUUCAUCGGCGAGUGAUUGCACUGUCUCUUCCAGGGCAGCUCCUUGAAAGAACUGAUCAUUAGUUACAUGGGUAUGGUAAGGAUAAUGCUUGAAGUCCAAGUGAAUCAUAUCAAAUAAUGCUUGGAUAGACCACAGGUUUGGGGAACUAGGUGAUUUGCUUUUACUUUAUAGAGCCUACGUUGCAGAUUGGUUAAUUCCUUUUUUCACUUAUAAUCGAGCACCCGAGAAGUAUUACCCGUGAUUUAUUCAGUAGUAAAGAGCCUGCAUUUGCCACACUCAGAGAGGCUUUCCUGAAUAUUAAAUCCAGUAACAAUCCAAGCACAGUGUCCACAUAAUUAUGCACGUCACAGAACACUAAAGAAAAGUCCUUGGGCUCAGCAAUGGUGUUCCAUAUUGUGCAGACUUUCUGCAGGGGAAGUGGUUGGAUGUCAAAGGAUGAAUUAGAAUACUGAAAUUUUUAUUAUUAUUUGAAACCAAUCCUUUUUCCUGAAUGCUACAUUUUUUGUUCACUUCUUCUUUGAUUAUGGGAGAUGGGCUGGUUCCGGAUGUAUGCGCAGUUAUCAGGUAUGUUGUCAAGACACCUGUUACUGCCUGUUACUCCUGGUAUGAAGAUCUGUUGUUUUUACUGUUGUACUGAAUACGUGCCAUCCUUGAUCUGAAGUGGGUUGGGCAAACACAGCACAGAUAUUGAACUAACUUGAGCAGAGAAAAAGUGGUGAUGCUUGCUAUGAUGGAUGCGAUCAGAAGGUUGGACAAAACCCUCCACAGAUUCUCUAUCUUGAUUGGCCAAGAACCAGUCACGUGUCUUUCACUUUAUUGCUAUCUGGCAUUUCCCGUCCAA